UGUUACCAUCCUCUAUCUAGUUUUCAAACCAAACACAUUUCCACACGCUUUUGCAGGAUGUUUCUAAUGUAAGAUUAGUCUAAAUGAGACGUUCGUUUGUCACAACUUCAAUGUAGUUUUGGUAUUUAUAAAGUUGUGGCCGAGCUUUUCUUUAUCUGAACGUUGUGACUAAGAAAGUAACUGUAGCAUACACAUUUAGUGUCGUUUUAAAAAAAACAUUUUUUUAGAAAGAAUACAGUAACGUCAGCUUCCACGAUGGAUCGGUUCCUGGUGUUUUCCUGUAGUCGACCAGCAACACAGACACCCUCUUCAGAUCCAGCAGUAAGGCGCUACCAGGAGAGUUGUGACCAGGGGACUCCGGCAGGUUGGAGGGGGAUGGACUAGUUCCACUCUGCCCUGCUGUUUUCCUGCAGUCGACCAGCCGCACAGACACCCUCUUCAGACCCAGCAGUAAGGCGCUACCAGGAGAGUUGUGACCAGGGGACUCUGGCAGGGUGGAGGGGGACGGACUAGCUCUGUCCUGGUGACCACAGAAAGUAUUGUACAUAGAAUAUCAUUAGACCAAACAUUUGAUUACUUUAGUCUAAAUCUCUGAUUGAUUGGUGCAUCCUUAGAAUACCUCCUUUCUCCUGAAGUGUGUAAUCGUUCACUACUUUCCACAAAUGUAUAAGAAUUCUAAUGCCCCGUCUUAUGUUCAGAAGCUUUCAUUGAGCAUUCAUUGGAGUUGAACACAUCACCCCUGAGUUAAUCUUGGUUUACGCAGAACUAAUGUCUCAUGAAUUGGUCAACCGCUCAAUUUAGUUCUGGGUUCAUACGUGAUAAGAGGAGAGCUUAAGAGACGCUGGAACAAGGAGCUCCACCCUCUUUCAAGAUACGGGCCGAAUAUCCCCUCUCCUUUCCAAAAUUCAGAGGACGCCAACACCUGCGAAAACGUGAUUUGUCAUAAUAACCAGAGAGGAAAAACCAAAACACCUGAACUACUGCUGCUCAUUAUUAUGUACUAUUUAAAGCCAAAUCCAUCAAUUUGUUUUUACUUUCCCCGAAAUUAAAUGAAUAUCAAUUUAUACAGUUAGAGCCACUUCUUUCUGGUUCCAUUUACAGCUUGUUUCUAGCCUAAAGCAUUGCAGAGUUAUUCUGAUGUUUUUCUGGUGCUAGCAAGCAUGCAAUGAACAACGUGCUGUUUACAUCUAUAUUUGCUCACCCUUCGCAAAUCAGAUCACGACUCAAUCCUACGUAUUGUACAGAUAUUCCAGUAAUUCUAUACACAUACUGUCCAUAAUGUCUCUACAUCCUGUAAUGGAAAAUGUUAUCAUGUGAAGAGCAGCCUUCAAAAUGUUCAUCUUGUCUUAGUGUCAUAAAUAAUCCUUGGUUCCUGCCUGUACUUGGUAAAGAUAUGAAGGGGGGCAACAUGACCCCCUCCUCAGGACCAUCUGGCAGAACGGCCAGAAUAUGUUGUAUAAAUUGAGACAGGAGGCGGUGCCAGACACGUGCCGGAACCAACCCUAUGAACUAUGACUCUGUAACGUGUCUGUAACCAGUAAUAUAAGAGAUCUAAUGGGACUGCCCUGAGGGAGAUACCAUCAGAACGGUACUUUAUGCAUCCUAAGUUUGACUUUGUCCUCUAGAGCAUGCUGAUAAUAAACAAUGAUUCAUUUAA